rnacentral:tRNA from 1 species
GGCCUCAUGGUCUAGCCUGGAUAUGAUAACAGCCUUCUAAGCUGUGGAUCGGGGGUUCGAAUCCCCCUGGGGCCG